ensembl:lncRNA
UGAAUAUAUAAAUCUAUAUCUUUUCUUUGAGGCUUACAGAACCUGUACUGUUGUAAUAAUAUGCAUGGGCUCUUCUCUGAGAGUGAUGGUUUUAUUUUGCGUGUCAAGCCUAGAAGGACGUUUUCGAUGAAGUUUUAAUCUAUGUUCUUUUUAGUCUUUUCUUUCCUCUUUUAUUUAUCUGAUUAUUUAUGCCUGCAUAUAGAUCUGUCUAUUCCAUUAUCUCUCUCACGUAUUUCAGUACCAGCAGUAUAGAUGCCUUAACAAUGCAAACCCAUAAGCGUACAAUCCCUUGUACAGACUUUACAACCACCACUACCAGUAACAGUAGCCACAGAGUUCCUUAAGGGGUUUCUUUCCAGAAAAAAAGCACAAAUCGGUCUGUUUUACUUAAAGCGAGGAGGGUUAAAUGAAUUAUUUGUCCUUUUUCUGUUGUUUGUAUAAUGAAGGAAAAUGAGAGGGAACCUGAAGGAUUAUAAAGAGAGACUAUAUGAUUUAUAUUUUAUGUAAUGCUAGUGCAAUUGGUUGCACUUUCUCAUUAAUUUAAAGCAAAAGGCUGCCUUUUUUCAGUCGUUUGUCUGCUGCGUUCACAACCGGGAGAGAAGCUCAAAGCCAUAUUCUACAGUGUCACCGUUCGCUCUGAAGUGCAUGCGAACCUGCAUGUUUUGGGUCGUGCCACAGCACUUUGUAAGGUACCACUGAUGAAUUUCUCACCCAGAGCAAAGUGACUCGAUAUCAGAGCACAAUGCCUUGCCCCUGGAGCUGAGGUUCUGACUCCCAGUCUGUAACUCUGUCUAAUUCUACUGUCAGCCGAAUCAGCCCUCGAUGAUCGGUCUUCAGGGCUCUUUCAUGAAUGGUUGAAGUGCUGUCUCCUGUAAUGUGUGUUUGAAAUCUGCCAUCUAACAGAAAAAUGGCUUUUAAUAUGCUAAUGUGUGAGGACUUUUUAUCAGAAAUGACUGACCAUUCACGAUGUUUUUCUUUUCCAUAUGUUGCUGUUAUGCGAUGGUUACUUUGUUAGUGGCUCCAUCGCAAUGAAUAAGAUGGACUUCUUAUAAAAUGACAAGCAUUUGAUAGGACAAAAGACUCAAACCUUUUUGACUCAAACCUGGUCUCCUUUUUUUCCUGCCUACUAUUCUUGUGUUUGUUUGUUUCUGGGUUUUUAUUUUUUAUGUUUUUUGGACUAGAUACACACUGAACCAUUCUAUUGAUAGGAAAACUCAAGACAAAACUACUGUAUAGAUUGUUUUCAUUUUUGAUGAAAGCUGUAAAAUAACUUUUCAAAGUUCACAAUAUUAAAUUAAAGUUACUUCUUGUCUGUGAUUUUUUUUUUUUAUUAUUCUUGGACUGUCUUUUGUCUUUCUUGAGCCUUUCUUCCAGGAGCAGGUGUUUG